UGGAUCCAGACUUUGAUCAUGGCUCAGGACGAACGCUGGCGGCGCGCCUAACACAUGCAAGUCGAACGAGCGAGAGAGAGCUUGCUUUCUUGAGCGAGUGGCGAACGGGUGAGUAACGCGUGAGGAACCUGCCUCAAAGAGGGGGACAACAGUUGGAAACGACUGCUAAUACCGCAUAAGCCCACGGCUCGGCACCGAGCAGAGGGAAAAGGAGCAAUCCGCUUUGAGAUGGCCUCGCGUCCGAUUAGCUAGUUGGUGAGGUAAUGGCCCACCAAGGCGACGAUCGGUAGCCGGACUGAGAGGUUGAACGGCCACAUUGGGUCUGAGACACGGCCCAGACUCCUACGGGAGGCAGCAGUGGGGAAUAUUGCACAAUGGGGGAAACCCUGAUGCAGCGACGCCGCGUGGAGGAAGAAGGUCUUCGGAUUGUAAACUCCUGUUGUUGAGGAAGAUAAUGACGGUACUCAACAGGGAAGUGACGGCUAACUACGUGCCAGCAGCCGCGGUAAAACGUAGGUCACAAGCGUUGUCCGGAAUUACUGGGUGUAAAGGGAGCGCAGGCGGGAAGACAAGUUGGAAGUGAAAUCCAUGGGCUCAACCCAUGAACUGCUUUCAAAACUGUUUUUCUUGAGUAGUGCAGAGGUAGGCGGAAUUCCCGGUGUAGCGGUGGAAUGCGUAGAUAUCGGGAGGAACACCAGUGGCGAAGGCGGCCUACUGGGCACCAACUGACGCUGAGGCUCGAAAGUGUGGGUAGCAAACAGGAUUAGAUACCCUGGUAGUCCACACUGUAAACGAUGAUUACUAGGUGUUGGAGGAUUGACCCCUUCAGUGCCGCAGUUAACACAAUAAGUAAUCCACCUGGGGAGUACGACCGCAAGGUUGCAACUCAAAGGAAUUGACGGA
rnacentral:rRNA from 1 species